CGGGGCACCGCGAUAAGGGGACCUCGAGUGCUGGGUUACAAACCUGGCUGUUGGGCUGCCUAAAAAGCAGUCUAUAGCAAGGGCCGGGCAAGACCGGUGCCAGCCGCCGCGGUAACACCGGCGGCUCGAGUGGUAACCGCUAUUAUUGGGUCUAAAGGGUCUGUAGCCGGCCGACUAAGUCUCUUGGGAAAUCUGGCAUCUCAAGUGUCAGGCUGCCAGGGGAUACUGGUCGGCUUGGGACCGGGAGAGGUGAGAGGUACCUCGGGGGUAGGGGUGAAAUCUUGUAAUCCUCGAGGGACCACCAGUGGCGAA
rnacentral:rRNA from 1 species